CCUACGGGAGGCAGCAGUGAGGAAUAUUGGUCAAUGGACGAGAGUCUGAACCAGCCAAGUAGCGUGCAGGAUGACGGCCCUAUGGGUUGUAAACUGCUUUUAUACAGGGAUAAAGUGCACUACGUGUAGUGUUUUGUAGGUACUGUAUGAAUAAGGACCGGCUAAUUCCGUGCCAGCAGCCGCGGUAAU
rnacentral:rRNA from 1 species